AGUCAAGUAAUUAAGUGCAUGUGGUGGAUGCCUUGGCAGUCAGAGGCGAUGAAAGACGUGAUAGCCUGCGAAAAGCUCCGGGGAGGCGGCAAAUAUCCUUUGAUCCGGAGAUGUCUGAAUGGGGGAACCCACCUACUUUAAGGUAGGUAUUGCAACAUGAAUACAUAGUGUUGCAAGGCGAACGAGGGGAAGUGAAACAUCUCAGUACCCUUAGGAAAAGAAAUCAAUUGAGAUUCCCUCAGUAGCGGCGAGCGAACGGGGAUCAGCCCAUUAAGUUAUGUGUGUUUUAGUGGAACGCUCUGGGAAGUGCGAACGUAGAGGGUGAUAUUCCCGUACACGAAAGGGCACACAUAAUGAUGACGAGUAGGGCGAGGCACGUGAAACCUUGUCUGAAUAUGGGGGGACCAUCCUCCAAGGCUAAAUACUCCUGACUGACCGAUAGUGAACCAGUACCGUGAGGGAAAGGCGAAAAGAACCCCUGUGAGGGGAGUGAAAUAGAUCCUGAAACCGCAUGCAUACAAGCAGUGGGAGCACCUUCGUGGUGUGACUGCGUACCUUUUGUAUAAUGGGUCAGCGACUUAUAUUCAGUAGCGAGGUUAACCGUAUAGGGGAGCCGUAGAGAAAUCGAGUCUUAAUAGGGCGUUUAGUUGCUGGGUAUAGACCCGAAACCAGGCGAUCUAUCCAUGAGCAGGUUGAAGGUUGGGUAACACUAACUGGAGGACCGAACCCACUGUCGUUGAAAAGCCAGGGGAUGACUUGUGGAUAGGGGUGAAAGGCUAAUCAAGCCUGGUGAUAGCUGGUUCUCCCCGAAAGCUAUUUAGGUAGCGCCUCGGACGAAUACCAUAGGGGGUAGAGCACUGUUUCGGCUAGGGGGUCAUCCCGACUUACCAAACCGAUGCAAACUCCGAAUACCUAUGAGUACUAUCCGGGAGACAGACUGCGGGUGCUAACGUCCGUAGUCAAGAGGAAAACAAUCCAGACCGCCAGCUAAGGCCCCAAAAUCAUAGUUAAGUGGGAAACGAUGUGGGAAGGCAUAGACAGCUAGGAGGUUGGCUUAGAAGCAGCCACCCUUUAAAGAAAGCGUAAUAGCUCACUAGUCGAGUCGGCCUGCGCGGAAGAUGUAACGGGGCUAAAACUAUGUGCCGAAGCUGCGGAUGUAUACUUUGUAUACGUGGUAGGGGAGCGUUCUGUAAGCCGAUGAAGGUGUGUUGAGAAGCAUGCUGGAGGUAUCAGAAGUGCGAAUGCUGACGUGAGUAACGACAAAACGGGUGAAAAACCCGUUCGCCGAAAGACCAAGGGUUCCAGUCCAACGUUAAUCGGGGCUGGGUGAGUCGACCCCUAAGGCGAGGCCGAAAGGCGUAGUCGAUGGGAAAAUGGUUAAUAUUCCAUUACUUCUGUGUAAUGCGAUGAGAGGACGGAGAAGGCUAAAUCAGCCUGGCGUUGGUUGUCCAGGUGAAAGGAUGUAGGCAUGUAUCUUAGGCAAAUCCGGGGUACUCUAUGCUGAGAUCUGAUAGCAAGCUGUACUUGUACAGCGAAGUGGUUGAUGCCAUGCUUCCAGGAAAAGUCUCUAAGCUUCAGUUACACAGGAAUCGUACCCGAAACCGACACAGGUGGUCAGGUCGAGUAGACCAAGGCGCUUGAGAGAACUCUGCUGAAGGAACUAGGCAAAAUGGUACCGUAACUUCGGGAGAAGGUACGCUGUUGUUGGUGAUGGAACUCGCUUCCUGAGCUGACGACAGCCGCAGAAACCAGGCCGCUGCAACUGUUUAUUAAAAACAUAGCACUCUGCAAACACGAAAGUGGACGUAUAGGGUGUGAUGCCUGCCCGGUGCUGGAAGGUUAAUUGAUGGGGUUAGCGUAAGCGAAGCUCUUGAUCGAAGCCCCAGUAAACGGCGGCCGUAACUAUAACGGUCCUAAGGUAGCGAAAUUCCUUGUCGGGUAAGUUCCGACCUGCACGAAUGGCAUAAUGAUGGCGGCGCUGUCUCCAGCAGAGGCUCAGUGAAAUCGAAAUCGCUGUGAAGAUGCAGUGUACCCGCGGCUAGACGGAAAAGACCCCGUGAACCUUUACUGCAGCUUGACACUGAACUUUGACCUUACUUGUGUAGGAUAGGUGGGAGGCUUUGAAGCUGGAACGCUAGUUCCAGUGGAGCCGUCCUUGAAAUACCACCCUGGUAAUGUUGAGGUUCUAACUCUGUCCCGUGAUCCGGGACGAGGACCGUGUCUGGUGGGUAGUUUGACUGGGGCGGUCUCCUCCUAAAGAGUAACGGAGGAGUACGAAGGUGCGCUCAGCGUGGUCGGAAAUCACGCGUAGAGUAUAAAGGCAAAAGCGCGCUUAACUGCGAGACCCACAAGUCGAGCAGGUACGAAAGUAGGUCUUAGUGAUCCGGUGGUUCUGUAUGGAAGGGCCAUCGCUCAACGGAUAAAAGGUACUCUGGGGAUAACAGGCUGAUACCGCCCAAGAGUUCAUAUCGACGGCGGUGUUUGGCACCUCGAUGUCGGCUCAUCUCAUCCUGGGGCUGAAGCAGGUCCCAAGGGUAUGGCUGUUCGCCAUUUAAAGAGGUACGCGAGCUGGGUUUAGAACGUCGUGAGACAGUUCGGUCCCUAUCUACCGUGGGCGCUGGAAAUUUGAGAGGAUCUGCUCCUAGUACGAGAGGACCAGAGUGGACGAACCUCUGGUGUACCGGUUGUGACGCCAGUCGCAUCGCCGGGUAGCUAUGUUCGGAAGGGAUAACCGCUGAAAGCAUCUAAGCGGGAAGCCUACCUCAAGAUAAGAUUUCCCUAGGACUUUAUGUCCUCUAAAGAGCCGUUCGAGACUAGGACGUUGAUAGGUUGGAUGUGGAAGCAUAGUGAUAUGUGAAGCUGACCAAUACUAAUUGCUCGUGAGGCUUGACUAU
rnacentral:rRNA from 1 species